rnacentral:lncRNA from 1 species
GAAAAGAAGAACUUUCUCAGUCAUGUCAUGUAUGGUAUCACCAUCCUAUAGGUACUUGGCAUUCCUGUGGUGUGUGCUGUUCCCUCCAAAGAUAAGCCUAUGUUUCCAUAUACUGGAAAUUAACUCUAGAAAUGAAACUGUUCUUCUCAUUUUUUCUUUUUAUUUUUCUUGGUGAUUAAUUAUUGUUCUUUCAUGGUUUUUCUCUUAAAAUCAUCCAGUUGAUCUAUAAAAAUGUAUUCAACUUAUUGUGUGGAAACACCCUGAGAAGAACAAAGAGAAGUUUAAAUAAUGAGGACCAGGAUAUCUGCAACCAAAAAGCAAUUUGUGCUUCAUUAAUUGUUCACAGAAAUAAAGUAUGUGGGGAGGGGGACAAUAUUUGAAGAUUUAAAUGGUCACUGCUACUGCUGCAUUUCUUGUUCAUUCAAAGUAAAACUAGAUAAUAUUUGUGUAAGCAGCACCUUGUUGGUUGGAUAACUGAGAAAUUACCAUAAUUUAAGUUUUGGUUUGCUUGAAGUUUCAAUAAGCUUAGGGUCAUUCUGAAGCAUUACCUUGUCAUGAAUUUUAAAGAUAAAAUUCAUAUUGAUGAUGAUGAUAAUAACAUCCACAUGUAUUAGUUUUAAUUAAGCAAAUAGAAUGUGCAAGUACUAUAUUAAAUACUUAUUCACAGAUUACCUCCUUCACCUUCAAAACAAUCCUAUACAAAGUAAAUGCUAUUAUCUUGGUUUUGUAGAUACUGAUAGCCUGUAUUUGUUGAGUUCUAAUUAUGUGUUCAAUUAUCAACAUCACAAUGAGAUAGUUACCAUUUUCUAGAAAAGAAAAUCCAAACUUAGAGUAAGAAAGUGAUUUACCUACAUUUCCAUAUGUAGUGAUAUUGGAGCCAUGACUCUGACUCAUUUGUAAUUUAAAACCUCAUGUUCUUAACCACAGUGCUGUGGUUAUCAUAUAUAUUAAUCAGUGUAAGUAAAUGUAAAUGCUUUAACAGAGAAACUUUGAAUUUCAUCAGAUUGACAAAAUAAAGUUUACAUUGUUUACUCAUGUUAUGAUCCAAGAUUCAAUGCAGUUGAAAUGUUGAAAUGUUGUCUAUCAGUAAUGGAAUCUGAGGAACAGACUUAAUCGGAGUGCCCAAAGACAAAAAUGUAAUAGAUUUGAUAUAAAUAAAACAUUUUAUCUGCCACACCUUGUAAGUAAAUCUUGACUUUUCUAUGUGAAAUUAGAGAACUGUUGGAUGAUUUUAAGCACAGAAUAUAAAUAAAUUUAUAUUUUAGAAUUAUGACUAUGGUAAUAUUACAGAGACUAGACUGUACAGGGUUGAAUGAGAUAAGAAAAUAUGAAGCUAUUUAGGGAAACCAAUUUAGACGAAAAAUGAUGGGAGCAGGAAUAAUACAGUGGUUACGGGAAUUAAGAGAAGAGGUAGGAAAAGCCUCCAAGAGCAAUUUGGAGGAUAGAUUCAAAAAGACUUAUUCAAUAUUGGGUGUAACCAAUUAAGCAGAAUGGUCAACAAUACUCCUGAGGUCUUAAGUAGGGAGAACAUCAUGG